rnacentral:rRNA from 1 species
CCUACGGGCGGCAGCAGUGGGGGAUAUUGCACAAUGGGGGGAACCCUGAUGCAGCGACGCCGCGUGGGUGAAGAAGCGCCUCGGCGCGUAAAGCCCUGUCAGCAGGGAAGAAAAUGACGGUACCGGAAGAAGAAGCCCCGGCUAACUACGUGCCAGCAUCCGCGGUAAUACGUAGGGGGCAAGCGUUAUCCGGAUUUACUGGGUGUAAAGGGGGCGCAGACGGCGAUGCAAGCCAGGAGUGAAAGCCCGGGGCCCAACCCCGGGACUGCUCUUGGAACUGCGUGGCUGGAGGGCAGGAGGGGCAGGCGGAAUUCCUGGUGUAGCGGUGAAAUGCGUAGAUAUCAGGAGGAACACCGGUGGCGAAGGCGGCCUGCUGGACUGCAACUGACGUUGAGGCCCGAAAGCGUGGGGAGCAAACAGGAUUAGAUACCCCUGUAGUC